rnacentral:rRNA from 1 species
UACGUAGGGCGCAAGCGUUAUUCGGAAUUAUUGGGCGUAAAGAGUUCGUAGGCGGUUUGUUGCGUCUGAUGUGAAAGCCCGGGGCUCAACCCCGGAUCUGCGGUGGGUACGGGCAGACUAGAGUGAUGUAGGGGAGACUGGAAUUCCUGGUGUAGCGGUGAAAUGCGCAGAUAUCAGGAGGAACACCGAUGGCGAAGGCAGGUCUCUGGGCAUUAACUGACGCUGAGGAACGAAAGCAUGGGGAGCAAACAGG